CUUGAUUAACAUGUGAGCGUCCCAGAUUUUAUUCACCAUUUCGCCACAUUUAAUCCGCUUCCUCCCCAGCUUUCUCAAAGCCAGCACUGUGCCAAGAUCACCCAUUAUAGAUGUCAAUCAGCUCUGGUACGACUGCACAGAACACAUCUACAGGGACAGGAUGAAAUGUGGGAGUGAAAAGAAAUGCACUGGAUGGUCAUGUGAUUGCUUCCGGUUGAAAAGCGGCGCCUCGUUGAUCAUUCGAUCCCUUUUGUUGUUGUGGUAGUGAAUGGAGGGUCUGACAACAAUAUGGAGAGAGUGCAGGAUACCUUAUACUGGAAUGGGGGCCAGGCCUUUAAAAUUGGAGAAGGGGGACUCUUACUGACAAGAAUAGAGAGGGAAUGAAAGAAUGGUUGGAUAAUUGAGAGGCAGGUCAUGGAGGGUGGAUAUAUUGUACGCAUCAGACAACAACCCAAACUCCAAGAAAAGUCUGUGAAAAUAGGUCACAAUUUGCACUGUAAUAUAUAUAGAUAAAUAGAUGGAUGGAUGGAUGGAUAGAUAGAUAGAUAGAUAGAUAGAUAGAUAGAUAGAUAGAUAGAUAGAUAGAUAGAUAGAUAGAUAGAUAGAUAGAUAGAUAGAAUUUGCAAAUAAAGAUGUUUUACAUUAUGCAUUGUUUUUGUUUUAGUGUUGAAGAAAAUGUCUGUAAACAUUUUCAAUAACAGUAAUUUAAAAAUUUUCUACAGAUUUUAGAGUGCGUAAAAGAAAAAAAGUGAUUACAUCUGUGUCUGUUUUCACUGAGGCUGUCAAUUUAACACUACUUUAUUAUGAUGCUAAUAUAUAAAAAUAUUAAAAGUAACAGUUAAUCAAUUGUUACUCCUUGUGUUCAAGAAAAACUGAAAUAGUUUCCUAUAAAACAUAAUCCAGUGAUAUUUGUUUUAUUUGCAAUCGGUUUUUAUUAGGCCUCUUAAUUUUCCUUAAUGUGAGAAAUUCAACAGAUCAUCAGUCACAACUCCAAGGUUUCUGGCUGUUUUUGAAGGAGUUAUAGUUGAUGUGGCUAACUGGAUGGUGAAAUUAUGAUGAAGUGAUUGGUUUGUUGACAUCACAAGCAGUUCUUUCUUGGCAAGGUUGAGUUGAAGUUGAUGGUCCUUCAUCCAGCAAGAAAUGUCUGUUAGACAUGUUUUGAUGUAAGCAGCUAUCGUCGAAUCAUCAGGAUGGAACGAGAGGUAGAGUUGAGUGUCAUCAGCCUAGCAGAGAUAUGAAAAGCCAUGUUUCUGAAUGACAGAAUAUAGUAAUGCCAUGUAGACAAAGAAGAUAAGUGGUCCAAGAACUGAGCCCUGAGGCACCCCAGUAGCUAGUUGUUGUGACUUGGACACCUCACCCCUCCAAGACUCAGGAUUGUGGUUCCUGAGAUGCCCUUUGCCAAUAUAGGGUUGACAGGGGGAACUGGUAGUUAACCGUGUCAAAAGCAGCCGACAGAUACAGCAAGAUAAGUAUUGAAGAUUUAGAAGCAACUCUUGCCAGUCUUAGGGCUUCGACAACUGAGAGCAAGGCAGUCUCGCUUCAAUGUCCACUUCUGAAGCCAGACUGCUUGCUGUUUAGGAAGGUUAAAAACAAAAACAAAAACUUCUU
ensembl:lncRNA